rnacentral:rRNA from 1 species
GUGGGGAAUCUUGCGCAAUGGGCGAAAGCCUGACGCAGCCAUGCCGCGUGGAUGAUGAAGGUCUUAGGAUUGUAAAAUCCUUUCACCGGUGAAGAUAAUGACUGUAGCCGGAGAAGAAGCCCCGGCUAACUUCGUGCCAGCAGCCGCGGUAAUACGAAGGGGGCUAGCGUUGCUCGGAUUUACUGGGCGUAAAGCGUGCGUAGGCGGUUUUGUAAGUUAGGAGUGAAAGCCCAGGGCUCAACCUUGGAAUUGCUCUUAAAACUGCAAGGCUCGAAUCUCGGAGAGGAUAGCGGAAUUUCCAGUGUAGCAGUGAAAUGCGUAGAUAUUGGAAGGAACACCAGUGGCGUAAGCGGCUAUCUGGACGAGUAUUGACGCUGAGGCACGAAAGCGUGGGGAUCAAACAGGAUUAGAUACCCUAGUAGUCC